GGAGUCUAGCAUGUACGCGAGUCAUUGGGACUUAACAAACCCUAAAGGCGUAAUGAAAGUAAAGGUCCGCCUUGCGCGGACCUAGGGAAGAUGGGCGACCGUUUCGGCUGUCGCCCCGCACUCCCGGGGCGUCUCGUUCUCAUUGCGAGAAGAGGCGCACCAAGAGCGUACACGCUGGGACCCGAAAGAUGGUGAACUAUGCCUGGUCAGGACGAAGUCAGGGGAAACCCUGAUGGAGGUCCGUAGCGAUUCUGACGUGCAAAUCGAUCGUCGGAACUGGGUAUAGGGGCGAAAGACUAAUCGAACCAUCUAGUAGCUGGUUCCCUCCGAAGUUUCCCUCAGGAUAGCUGGCACUCAGAUAGAACGAGUUUCAUCCGGUAAAGCGAAUGAUUAGAGGCAUUGGGGUCGAAACGGCCUCAACCUAUUCUCAAACUUUAAAUGGGUGAGAUCUCCGGCUUGCUCGAACGAAUGAAGCCGCGAGACUCGAAUCAGAGUGCCAAGUGGGCCAUUUUUGGUAAGCAGAACUGGCGCUGUGGGAUGAACCAAACGCUGAGUUAAAGCGCCUAAAUCGACGCUUAUGGGAUACCAUGAAAGGCGUUGGUAACUUAAGACAUCAGGACGGUGGCCAUGGAAGUC
rnacentral:rRNA from 1 species